AGUGAACGCUGGCGGUAGGCCUAACACAUGCAAGUCGAACGGCAGCACAGUAAGAGCUUGCUCUUACGGGUGGCGAGUGGCGGACGGGUGAGGAAUACAUCGGAAUCUACUUUUUCGUGGGGGAUAACGUAGGGAAACUUACGCUAAUACCGCAUACGACCUACGGGUGAAAGCAGGGGAUCUUCGGACCUUGCGCGAUUGAAUGAGCCGAUGUCGGAUUAGCUAGUUGGCGGGGCAAAGGCCCACCAAGGCGACGAUCCGUAGCUGGUCUGAGAGGAUGAUCAGCCACACUGGAACUGAGACACGGUCCAGACUCCUACGGGAGGCAGCAGUGGGGAAUAUUGGACAAUGGGCGCAAGCCUGAUCCAGCCAUACCGCGUGGGUGAAGAAGGCCUUCGGGUUGUAAAGCCCUUUUGUUGGGAAAGAAAAGCAGCAGGUUAAUACCCCGCCGUUCUGACGGUACCCAAAGAAUAAGCACCGGCUAACUUCGUG
rnacentral:rRNA from 1 species